rnacentral:rRNA from 1 species
UACGUAGGUGGCAAGCGUUGUCCGGAUUUACUGGGCGUAAAGAGCGCGCAGGCGGUUGGAUAAGUCGAAUGUGAAAGCCCCCGGCUCAACUGGGGAGGGUCAUUCGAUACUGUCCGACUCGAAGGCAGGAGAGGGAAGCGGAAUUCCCGGUGUAGUGGUGAAAUGCGUAGAUAUCGGGAGGAACACCAGUGGCGAAGGCGGCUUUCUGGGCCUUACCUGACGCUGAGACGCGAAAGCGUGGGGAGCGAACCGG